UACGUAGGCAGCAAGCGUUGUUCGGAGUUACUGGGCGUAAAGGGUGCGUAGGCGGUCCUAUAAGUAUGGUGUGAAAUCUCCCGGCUUAACUGGGAGGGUGCGCUAUAGACUGUGGGACUAGAGUGUGGGAGAGGAAAGUGGAAUUCCUGGUGUAGCGGUGAAAUGCGUAGAUAUCAGGAGGAACACCGGUGGUGUAAACGGCUUUCUGGACCAUAACUGACGCUGAGGCACGAAGGCCAGGGGAGCAAACGGG
rnacentral:rRNA from 1 species